rnacentral:rRNA from 1 species
UACAGAGGGUGCGAGCGUUAAUCGGAGUGACUGGGCGUAAAGGGCGCGUAGGCGGUUAGAUUAGUCUGAUGUGAAAGACCUGGGCUUAACCUGGGAUGUGCAUUGGAAACGGUCUAGCUAGAGUUUGGGAGAGGGAAGUGGAAUUUCCGGUGUAGCGGUGAAAUGCGUAGAGAUCGGAAAGAACACUCGUGGCGAAGGCGACUUUCUGGCCCAAAACUGACGCUGAGGCGCGAAAGCGUGGGGAGCAAACAGG